rnacentral:rRNA from 1 species
AUUGAACGCUGGCGGCAUGCUUUACACAUGCAAGUCGAACGGCAGCGCGGGCUUCGGCCUGGCGGCGAGUGGCGAACGGGUGAGUAAUACAUCGGAACGUGCCCAGUAGUGGGGGAUAGCUCGGCGAAAGCCGGAUUAAUACCGCAUACGACCUGAGGGUGAAAGCGGGGGAUCUUCGGACCUCGCGCUAUUGGAGCGGCCGGUGGCAGAUUAGCUAGUUGGUGGGGUAAAGGCCUACCAAGGCGACCAUCUGUAGCUGGUCUGAGAGGACGACCAGCCACACUGGGACUGAGACACGGCCCAGACUCCUACGGGAGGCAGCAGUGGGGAAUUUUGGACAAUGGGCGAAAGCCUGAUCCAGCAAUGCCGCGUGUGUGAUGAAGGCCUUCGGGUUGUAAAGCACUUUUGGCGGGAACGAAAAGGACUGUGCCAAUACCACGGUUCGAUGACGGUACCCGCAGAAUAAGCACCGGCUAACUACGUG